rnacentral:rRNA from 1 species
AGAGUUUGAUCGUGACUCAGAUUGAACGCUGGCGGCAGGCCUAACACAUGCAAGUCGAGCGGAUGACGGGAGCUUGCUCCUUGAUUCAGCGGCGGACGGGUUGAGUAAUGCCUAGGAAUCUGCCUGGUAGUGGGGGACAACGUUUCGAAAGGAACGCUAAUACCGCAUACGUCCUACGGGAGAAAGCAGGGGACCUUCGGGCCUUGCGCUAUCAGAUGAGCCUAGGUCGGAUUAGCUAGUUGGUGGGGUAAUGGCUCACCAAGGCGACGAUCCGUAACUGGUCUGAGAAGAUCGAUCAGUCACACUGGAACUGAGACACGGUCCAGACUCCUACGGGAGGCAGCAGUGGGGAAUAUUGGACAAUGGGGGCAACCCGUGAUCCAGCCAUGCCGCGUGAGUGAAGAAGG